CCUCCUUUCAUCACUGACCAGUGCUUUCUCAUUCUCUGUCUCGCGAUAAUUACUGCCACUCUUUGUUGCCAUUUUUGCUGUGCCUACCAAUCUAAGACGCCACCACUCAGUCUGCUUUGCCGUCGUGGUCAUUCUUGUUCAUGGUUUCCAGCAGAUUUUGAGAUAUUUACAAGGCACUCAAAAUCUGGGAAUUCUAUUAAGGGUGGAGGAAAUGAAGAAUUAAUUGCUUAUACUGGCAGUGAUUAUGCAGGGGAUCUUGUUGGCAGGAGGAGUGAUCUCUUGGUGUUAAAGAAACAAUCUGUGGUCAAUGUGUUUAUAGCAGCUGCUUUAUGUGUGUGUUAAUGUGUUUGGCUAAGAAGAAUUCUAGAGCAUCCAGAUCACUGUCAGGAAGGUGCUACUGUGAUGUUUUGUGAUAAUGUCUCUACAAUUAAGUUAUUCAAAAAUCCAGUUUUACAUGGAAGAAGUAAACACAUGUUGGGUUUCAUUUCUUAAGAAACUUAUGUAAUGAUGGUGUUAUUGAGUUAAAUUAUUGCUACAAGAGAUCAGCUAUCAGCCAUCAUGACUCAUGACAAAGCCACUUAAAGUUGAAGUUUUUUAGCAGCUACGAAGUGCUUUGGGCUUGCUUGAGGAUUCUGAAAGAAAUUGUUGCAAGGAGCAUGCAAUUUAAGGGAGGGAUUGUAGACUGAGUCAAAUAUUUUGUUUUCUGUUUUAUAUAUUUAUCUGAUUUUGUUGCUGUUUUUAUUCGGUUACCCAUGUUUAGGAUUAUGUUGUUAGCACGUGGUGGAAUAUUUAGCUGAUUUUUAGGAGUUCCGUUGUAGUGCUAAGUCUAUAUACAGAGAAAAAAUUGUACAACAAAUGUUUUGACUCUUCAUAGCCAAAGCUAAGGUAGCAUAACAACUGGAACUAUAUUUUUCUGAAUGAUGAAGAAGAACUGGCUUUUAAAACAGA